rnacentral:rRNA from 1 species
CCUACGGGAGGCAGCAGUGGGGAAUAUUGGACAAUGGGCGAAAGCCUGAUCCAGCAAUGCCGCGUGAGUGAUGAAGGCCUUAGGGUUGUAAAGCUCUUUUACCAGGGAUGAUAAUGACAGUACCUGGAGAAUAAGCUCCGGCUAACUCCGUGCCAGCAGCCGCGGUAAUACGGAGGGAGCUAGCGUUGUUCGGAAUUACUGGGCGUAAAGCGUACGUAGGCGGUUAUUCAAGUCAGAGGUGAAAGCCCGGGGCUCAACCCCGGAACUGCCUUUGAAACUAGAUAGCUAGAAUCUUGGAGAGGUUAGUGGAAUUCCGAGUGUAGAGGUGAAAUUCGUAGAUAUUCGGAAGAACACCAGUGGCGAAGGCGACUAACUGGACAAGUAUUGACGCUGAGGUACGAAAGCGUGGGGAGCAAACAGGAUUAGAUACCCUGGUAGUCCACGCCGUAAACGAUGAUAACUAGUUGUUCGGGCACUUGGUGCCUGAGUGACGCAGCUACGCAUUAAGUUAUCCGUCCGUCGGGUAGGUACGGUCGGCGAGAAGUUAAAACGUUAAAAGGUAAAGUUAGACGGCGUGUAAGACGUGUUCCGAACGGACGACGACGAGGGGAGGUUAGG